rnacentral:lncRNA from 1 species
AGGCUCCUGCAAUCAGCCUCUGGAGUUGUAAACUUGGCUCAAUGGCUUUCUGAGAGAUGUGAACCUUGGAUGAGUCCCUGAAUCUCCAAAUCUCAGUUUUCCCAUAUGUAAAAUGGGAGUGAGUUUUUUUUAAUAGCUCAUCCUUCAUAUAGUUGAGUUAAAUGAAAUCACAUGUGAUAAGUGCUUGAAACAAUUCUUGGCACAUAGGAAACCCUCUUUAAAAAUUAGCAGUUAACUGCUAUUUUUUAAAAAUCCACUUCCAUGCAUAGGAAAGAAAGAGAAAAGUAUUUUCCUAAAGAAGUCAAUUUUGAGAAUAGCCUGCUUCUCAAACUGUUGAGGGCCAAAUUUUGAAAUAGACUUUCAGAAAGUUAAUUACACACCUUGCCCUUCUGUGUUCUUCAGUCCCUCCAACUAGUCCUUUUAAGACACUCAGUAUCUUUAUGCUGCCCCAGAUUCUGGUCCAAGAAAUACGUGCUCUGGGUGGGACAUUCUCUUAGAUACUUUCUCCAACAUUCUUCCAAUUUUUAACCCUUGCUGUGUUCCACAAUGGAGCACUUACCUUGGUGCUGCAUUGCAACUUUUUUGCUCUCUUUCUCCAGAAGGUUCUCAUUCUCAAGAUAACACCUAGCUUAUAGGAUUGGUAACAGGUUAAAAGAUGAUACAUGGUCAUAGGGACAUAGUAAGACUAAGUGUUAGAUAUUAAUCUAUAAAUAUUACUAUCCUCCCUUUCUCUUGAAGGGAAUAUUGAAAGAAAUCCUACCUGUGUGACCUCAUGGCACCUCUGCUCUCUCUUGUGACAUCAAUAAAUCAUCCUGCUGUCUCAGUUUGGGCUACUAGAACCGUAAACCAUAGACUUGGGGGCUUAAAAUACAAAUAUUUAUUUUUCACAGUUUGAGAGUCUGGGAAGUCUAAAUCAAGCACUGGAAGUUUCAGUCUCUGACAGUGGCACUUUCCUGGUUCGUGGAUGGCCGUCCUAUCACUGCAUCCUCACAUGGCUGAAAGAGGGCUAGAGAGCUCUGUGGGAUCUCUUUUAUAAGGGCACUAAUCCCACUCAUGAGGGCUUCACCAUCAUGACUUAAUUCCCUUCUAAAUACCCUACCUCUUAUGGCAUCACUUUGAGGAUAGGAUUUCAACAUAUAUACUUGGGGGAGACACAAACAUUCAGUCCAUAACACCUGCCCAUGUAGUAUAUUUCAUCUUAAACAUCUCCAAUUCCUGGACCAUGAAAGAAUGAAUAAACUAAUAGUGAGUACCUGGAUUCUGACCAUCAUCUCUUCCUGAAGGUGCCUGUGACCUUUUCCCCAGUUUAUUAGAUAUCCUGUCCCUAUCACAGCUCUUCUUACACUGAAUUGCUUUUGCACAUUAUGUAUUUGUCUCUCCAACUAUGUUGUGUUCCCCUUGAAAGCAGCGUACUAACCUUAUUUAUCUAUGUUUUUUCUCAGAACAUCAUGCAGAGCUUGGCAUAGGGUAGGUACUUAUUUACAUUUUCUAGAUAGAGGAACCCUUGGCACCUAGUUCAUUCAUAGCACAAAUGCAGCUGAGUCUUGAGUCUUUACGGGGCCAAAGCCAUACCCCUUACAUGUGGCAAAUGUUGAUGCAUCGUACAUGUUUGCAAAGUUUAAGCAACUGGGUCCACUUUAACAUUCUGAACUCAAGAGAUAUGUGACACUUUACUGGAAACCUACUUUGCAUCUAAAUUGGUAAUUACCACCUUUCUAGCUAACUUCACUGGGACUAUUAUACAGAAAACCCAAAAAGACAAUAAUGGAAGAAGACUAUGUUCACCUAUGGUAUUUGCCUAUCCCAUCCUUACUUAGGCUUCUUGCACUAUUGUCCACUGGGUUCCAGGACCCAUGGGCAGCCCUCAAGUCUGGUUGUCUAGUAUAUUGAGCAAUAUACUAAUGUUUCUAUAUGACUGCCUAUACUUUUGUUUCUGGCAUCAAAUAUUUUGCUUUUCGAUUUUUAAUAGAAACCAGACAUUGCAUCAUUAAUAUGUCAUCAAAAGCAGUGCCAGAUUUCCUGUUAUCCUGGGGAAGGAUUCACUGGCUAGUGAGACUACAUGGAAGAGGUCACUCUGGGGAUUUAGUUCAAAUAAAUGUGAACAAAAAAAAAGCACCAGAUGGAGGUGCCCAAGAUGUAAAAUAAGCUUUGCAGAGAAAGGACAGGGCAUCUUCCAAACUGAACUGCUCUCAAGCAUUGAUUGCCAACACUGAUUCAUUCUCUGGACAGAUGGGGACUUGCCAACUAUACACCAUUGUCUGUUCUCUACACUGUAAUUACAAAGAUGAAAUAUGUGUCUAUUUAUACACACAAGCAGAUGUGGUACAUUUAAGGAACAAAUAGAAGAGUGAUUCAGUCUUCCAAGAUAUAUUAAAUUUACGUGAUACCAGAGGUAACAGAUGAAUUAUGACCUAUCAGUUGUGCAGGUAAACAGUAGAAAACUAUAGGUGUAUUAUAGUCACGAAAUUCUCCUGGUACACACCAUGUGUAUGAUUUUUUGUGUGUGACAUCAUAAAAUAUUAGUAUCAUUCACCAUAUUUGUUAAACAAGUUGUGCCAAAGUGAGCUACACAGUUUCAUAUGCAAUACCUGCAUAGUUGCACUGAAGAAAGAUGCCUAACAUUUACAGACAGCAUAACUCUACUUUCUAGCCUUCCUUGCUCACUCUGUCAAAUGCAUUUGCAAAGAGACUUGUUUCUUUGUUAGGGUAUAACACAAUUGCCUAUAGGAUGUCCAUUGUGAGCUAACAUUGAUAGGCCACAAGCUCCACCCUUUCCAAAGGGUUGAGAAGAGGCAGAGGAUGGAGAGAAAGCAAAAAGCCUGUAGAGUCUCCAGCAUAAAGUCCAGAAACUCCUUUGUGUUCAUUCACUCCAAGUGCAUACUUAUUUUUGGGCAAAGGGCACUGGGAGAGAACACAGUUUUGCAAACUAACAAAGGCUAAAAGCAAUAAGGGUGGUAUUGAAUAAUGUUUGACCAUUGAAUUUAAUAGGGAAAUUAAAAGUGUGGGAAACCCUUUGGCUAAUUUUGAUGACUUGAAAUUUUAUUCUAAUAAUAGAUAAAAGAGAUUUUUCUGUAUCUGG